GGCGGUGCGCAUAACACAUGCAAGUCGAGCGAGGGCUUAUUUCUCGCAAGAGAGAUGAGUUCCUAGCGGCGAACGGGUGAGUAACACGUGGGCAACCUUUCCUAUCGCGGGGGAUAACACCGGGAAACCGAUGCUAAUACCGCAUGUCGUCACUGGUCGCAUGGCCGGUGAAGAAAGCAGCAAUGCACGAUGGGGUGGGCCCGCGGCCUAUCAGCUAGUCGGUGGGGUAACGGCCUACCGAGGCGAUGACGGGUAGCUGGUCUGAGAGGACGGCCAGCCACACGGGGACUGAGACACGGCCCCGACUCCUACGGGAGGCAGCAGUGAGGAAUCUUCCGCAAUGGGCGAAAGCCUGACGGAGCGACACCGCGUGUGGGAUGAAGUCUUUCGGGAUGUAAACCACUGUCGGAGGGGAAGACAAAAAAGACGGUACCCUCCAAGAAAGCCCCGGCUAACUACGUGCCAGCAGCCGCGGUAAUACGUAGGGGGCAAGCGUUAUCCA
rnacentral:rRNA from 1 species